UAUAGUUUUUUAAAAAUGAAUGUUUAUAGCGCGAGACAGAUGCGAACCAAUCCACAAAAAAACGAUCUGCAUACGGCACACAAGCCAGCCGUCAACAAUUUGCAACAAUUAUAACAUUUGGAUGAGUAGUUCUAGAAUGGGGGAGGGGUGGGUGGUACGGUGGGCGGCUCCUUCUCUGUGUAAUCUGAACCUGACUGCUUGCUGCGCACUUCCAUGGACAAUCUGCUGCGGUUGCAGCCUCAUGCAUUUGAGGAAAGGAGGUCCGGAGGAGGAACUUGUUUCUGCCAACUCACCUCUUCAUUGCCAUCUACCAGUUCCUGCCUUUCAUUAAGCUCUGAUGUUCCUUAUAAAUAAAUAAAAAUGUGUUAACUCAA